GCGCGGUUAGCUCAGUUGGUAGAGCAUCUCAUUGACGUUGAGAGGGUCACAGGUUCGAAUCCUGUAUCGCGCA
rfam:Parcubacteria bacterium C7867-005 C7867_00008, whole genome shotgun sequence.